rnacentral:misc_RNA from 1 species
AACCAUUCUCACCUGCGGCUAGACCUGCGGAAGGAUCAUUACGAGAGUGUCACCACUCCCAACCCAUUGUUUACCUACCCGUCCACCGUGCUUCGGCAGGCAGCCCUGUGGGACAGAGCCUCGCCCCCUUUCGCGGGGGGUGCCUGCCGCUUGCCAACCAAAACUCUAGCUGUUUUAGUACCAUCUGAGUCUUCCACAAAUGAACAAAACUUUCAACAAUGGAUCUCAGAUCGGAAGAGC